AAGCUGCCACGACCCAACAAUUGGAAACGGUCCAACAGGAGGCUCCCACACGGACUGCACAAGCUGCACUCAUUUUCUUUGGAGCAAACACAAUCUUCACGUCCAGCAGCCUCCAGAAAGCAAGAGCAGCUCACGACCCAUGGACAUCACUUGGCAGCACCACACUGCAACGCACACUAGCUUGGAGUCGAGCAACAUUUGAUGGUGCAACACGUUGAUUUAUCUUCAAGUUGGAGUGUUGACACGGCCCAAAGGUCUGGAUAAAUACGGUGCAACACGUGAAGAGCUUCAUUCCAAAUAAAAUAAGCAACAACAGCUUAUUUUUGGAGAGAGCUACCACGACCCAUGAUUAAAGGGAGAAGGCUGGUCCAGCUGGGAGAGAAAUGAGCAGCUCCAAGUGCUUGAAGAAAUAACUCACACAUUCAUUUCCACAUUGUUGCAGCACACGUCCAACAUGGGUAGCGUAGCACAAUAAUAAUUUGAAGAGGUGGUACGCCCAGCUCGGGUUACAACCAGAUUAGAAAACAUGGUGCAAUCAUUUUUAUAUUAGUGUGAAGAAGUGAUUCAAAUGGGCUUGAGUGUCACGAUCUGGGAGCACCAUGCUGGCUGGAAGAAAAAUAGCUCACGGCCUACACAUGGGAGGUCCAAUAGCCCGUUGCAAAUAGCUUGGAAGGUGCUCCAACAGAUUUGGCAGCAGCUUAUGGGGUGCACACAACAUGUCUCGGCCUGGUUCAGUAGUGUUGCUUCCACAACUAUGCAUCCAGCAUCCAUUCUUCAUUGAGGAACUCCUCAUGGGUCAGAGCCUACAACAGAUUGUUGCAACAACUUCAUUCAUCUAGAUUUUUGGCCCAGCUCUCCACGGUCCAGCAGCUCCUUGUACAGCAUAUUGGAGUGCAAAAGGAAGAAACAUCAAGCACCUGGCAGUAGCUCACGGUUGUAGCCCAUCAGCACUCCUUGGACAACAGCUGGUCCAUGAGCAAUUGGAUUGGAGCAUCCAGAGAAUGCAGCCCACGCUGGCAGACUGAGGAGGACACGAAAACCUAGAAGUUUUUACCGUUACAUUGGCUGGGAGGUAUAGGAUCCAGCCGACACACACUUGGGGAGAAACUUUAUUUUUGCUUUUAAAGAAACAUGGGGUGAUUCGUUGCUGGAAGUUUGAGGUGUCACGGCCAGUAGAUAGUUGCAAGUGGUGAUUUCUUUGAGAGACGACCUAGGAGUCACUUCCUAGUCUAUAGUGCAUUCUUAAUUUGCAAUCAAAUUUGUAUGGGCUACGACAACCCAUAAUAAACCUCCACCGCCUC
rnacentral:lncRNA from 1 species